AGGGUUUGAUUCUGGCUCAGGAUGAACGCUGGCGGCGUGCUUAACACAUGCAAGUCGAACGGGAUCCAUCAAGCUUGCUUGAUGGUGAGAGUGGCGAACGGGUGAGUAAUGCGUGACUAACCUGCCUCAUACACCGGAAUAGCUCCUGGAAACGGGUGGUAAUGCCGGAUGCUCCAACAUUUCACAUGUUUUGUUGGGAAAGCGUUAGCGGUAUGAGAUGGGGUCGCGUCCUAUCAGCUUGUUGGUGAGGUAAUGGCUCACCAAGGCUUCGACGGGUAGCCGGCCUGAGAGGGCGACCGGCCACAUUGGGACUGAGAUACGGCCCAGACUCCUACGGGAGGCAGCAGUGGGGAAUAUUGCACAAUGGGCGGAAGCCUGAUGCAGCAACGCCGCGUGCGGGAUGACGGCCUUCGGGUUGUAAACCGCUUUCACCAGGGGCGAAGGCAUCCUUUUGGGGUGUUGACGGUACCUGGAGAAGAAGCACCGGCUAACUACGUGCCAGCAGCCGCGGUGAUACGUAGGGUGCGAGCGUUGUCCGGAUUUAUUGGGCGUAAAGGGCUCGUAGGCGGUUGAUCGCGUCGGAAGUGAAAACUUGGGGCUUAACCCUGAGCGUGCUUUCGAUACGGGUUGACUUGAGGAAGGUAGGGGAGAAUGGAAUUCCUGGUGGAGCGGUGGAAUGCGCAGAUAUCAGGAGGAACACCAGUGGCGAAGGCGGUUCUCUGGACCUUUCCUGACGCUGAGGAGCGAAAGCGUGGGGAGCAAACAGGCUUAGAUACCCUGGUAGUCCACGCUGUAAACGGUGGGUACUAGGUGUGGGGUCCAUUCCACGGAUUCCGUGCCGUAGCUAACGCAUUAAGUACCCCGCCUGGGGAGUACGGCCGCAAGGCUAAAACUCAAAGGAAUUGACGGGGGCCCGCACAAGCGGCGGAGCAUGCGGAUUAAUUCGAU
rnacentral:rRNA from 1 species